CGGCGGACGGGUGAGUAACGCGUGGACAACCUGCCCUAUGCAGGGGGAUAACAUCCGAAACGGGUGCUAAUACCGCAUAAGCGCACAGUACCGCAUGGUACGGUGUGAAAAGCUGAGGCGGCAUAGGAUGGGUCCGCGUUGGAUUAGGCAGUUGGCGGGGUAACGGCCCACCAAACCAACGAUCCAUAGCCGGCCUGAGAGGGUGGACGGCCACAUUGGGACUGAGACACGGCCCAGACUCCUACGGAAGGCAGCAG
rnacentral:rRNA from 1 species